GAUGAACGCUGGCGGCGUGCUUAACACAUGCAAGUCGAACGGUGAACACGGAGCUUGCUCUGUGGGAUCAGUGGCGAACGGGUGAGUAACACGUGAGCAACCUGCCCCUGACUCUGGGAUAAGCGCUGGAAACGGCGUCUAAUACUGGAUAUGUGACGUGACCGCAUGGUCUGCGUUUGGAAAGAUUUUUCGGUUGGGGAUGGGCUCGCGGCCUAUCAGCUUGUUGGUGGGGUAAUGGCUCACCACGGCGUCGACGGGUGGCCGGCCUGAGAGGGUGACCGGCCACACUGGGACUGAGACACGGCCCAGACUCCUACGGGAGGCAGCAGUGGGGAAUAUUGCACAAUGGGCGCAAGCCUGAUGCAGCAACGCCGCGUGAGGGAUGACGGCCUUCGGGUUGUAAACCUCUUUUAGCAGGGAAGAAGCGAAAGUGACGGUACCUGCAGAAAAAGCGCCGGCUAACUACGUG
rnacentral:rRNA from 1 species